rnacentral:lncRNA from 1 species
CUGGAGCAGAGGUUUGAAUGAAGCCUAGCAGAUUUUGGGGAGUCCUAAGAGAUGGAAAGCGAUAUGAAAGGAGAGAAAAGAGGUGUAGGGGGUUAUGUGGCUUCGUGGGUCCUCAGUUCCUACAGGUUUCCCACUUUACUGGGCCCAAAGCGACUACAUACUGGCGUGAGAUCAAACUCUUUGCAGUGGCACCAAAGACAGGACUAGAGACCGCACCGCGAGGGAAUCCAAGCUGACGCUCCUGGCUCGUGCCAGGAGCAGGCGACCUCUGUCGUCCCGUUUAGGCAGCGCGGUGGAGACCCCAGAAGGUCUGGCCAGGUACGCCAAGAACUGGUCAAGAGCAAAGACAGGCAAAGGGCCAGCGACCCGCCGGUGGAUAGGAAGGCGACAGCUGGCCACGCCUCGGCUGCCGGGUCGGCGCGGGGCGCGGCUCCGCUCAGCAGGGGGAUGAACAGGUGCGCGGGCGGGGGGCGGUGCUUGGGGAUCCUGCGCACUGUGCGCGCCCCUCCCCCGCGCAGCUCCAGGCGCAGUCCCAGCCCCGGCGCGAGCAGGAGGAGGAGCUGUGGCGGCCACGGCUACUCCAGCAAGUCCGCGGCGCCACGGUAACCCGCCGACGGCGCGGGCUGCUGGUACCCGCGUGGAGGAGGCGCAGGCGGCCCUGGGGCAAUGGAGCCUGGUGACACGGCGCGCCCGGGCCCUGGGCGGGCUGUCCGUGCGCUGCGGCCACGGCUACUGCUGCUACCACUGUUGCCGCUGCUACUGGGUCGGGGGCUGCGUGCUGGGGCCGCGGCCUCCUCUUCUGGGGCGGCGGCUGAGGACAGCAGCGCCAUGGAGGAGCUAGCCACUGAGAAGGAGGCAGAGGAGAGCCACCGGCAAGACAGCGUGAGCCUGCUCACCUUCAUCCUGCUGCUCACCCUCACCAUCCUCACCAUCUGGCUGUUCAAGCACCGCCGGGUGCGCUUCCUGCACGAGACCGGACUGGCCAUGAUUUAUGGUGAGCACCCCUGUCGCACCCCCCAC